rnacentral:rRNA from 1 species
AUUGAACGCUAGCGGCAUGCCUUACACAUGCAAGUCGAACGGUAACGCGGGGCAACCUGGCGACAAGUGGCGAACGGGUGAGUAAAGCAUCGGAACGUGCCCAACAGUGGGGGAUAGCCCGGCGAAAGCCGGAUUAAUACCGCAUACGACCUCAGGGUGAAAGCGGGGGAUCGCAAGACCUCGCGCUGAUGGAGCGGCCGAUGUCAGAUUAGGUAGUUGGUGGGGUAGAGGCUCACCAAGCCGACGAUCUGUAGCUGGUCUGAGAUGACGACCAGCCACACUGGGACUGAGACACGGCCCAGACUCCUACGGGAGGCAGCAGUGGGGAAUUUUGGACAAUGGGGGAAACCCUGAUCCAGCCAUGCCGCGUGCGGGAAGAAGGCCUUCGGGUUGUAAACCGCUUUUGUCGGGGAAGAAAUCCUCCGGGCUAAUACCUCGGGGGGAUGACGGUACCCGAAGAAUAAGCACCGGCUAACUACGUGCCAGCCGCCGCCGUAACAC